UGGUUUAUUCACAAAAGAACAGGAUCUUGUAUGUACAUAUCACAUUUUGUUUAUUAGCUCAUCUGUUAAUGGACACCUGAGUUGAUUUCACAAUUGGGAAUCAUGCUGUUAUGAAUAUAGACUAGAAAACUACUGGAAGCGCCCUGAGGGCACAAAGGCUCCAGGAAUUUACAAAACCAGAGCACAACAACGGGAAGACUGGACCCUUUGCCCAAAGAUAACACUGAAACACGUUACAGCCUCCACAGGAACAACUGAAGCAUCCUGCUCACAACCACCUCAAUCACCUAAUAAAAGCUCAAAGCCCCAACCCAUCAGGAUUGGUGCUGAUGCAUAUCCCUGCACCUAGCCCUUUCCCUCCUUGGGAAAAUAA